UUCUCCUCUCACGGUUUCUCUCUUCUGCCUUUACUUCUUCAUUUUUCCCCUUUCUUCCCUCUCUCUCUCUGUGUAUGAUUUGUGAACAGAUCAAUUGAGUGCAACAUAUAAUAAUUAAAUAAUUGCGAUAAUGAUAAUGACCUACCUAAAAUUUUAAUAGGACUCUUAAUUAGAAUUUAAAUUGAACUCUGAACUAAUAACUUUAUCAAAGAAAAAUCUAAUUUUAUGAGGAUAAGAUUCUAAUAUAAAUAUGUGAAAAUUCUAAAUAUAUCUAAA
rnacentral:lncRNA from 1 species